UACAUGUGGGGCAAGCGUUGUUCGGAAUUACUGGGCAUAAAGGGUGCGUAGGUGGCUUGUUAAGUCAGGGGUGAAAUCCCACGGCCCAACCGUGGAACUGCCUUUGAUACUGGCGAGCUCGAGUGCGUGAGGGGUGAUCGGAACGAGUAGUGUAGCGGUGAAAUGCGUAGAUAUUACUCGGAAGGCCAACGGCGAAGGCAGAUCACUGGUACGCAACUAACACUGAGGCACGAAAGCGUGGGGAGCAAACAGG
rnacentral:rRNA from 1 species